rnacentral:lncRNA from 1 species
GCAUUUGACACCGCCCCUUUCCAAACAGGGUGAGUAGUUCCGUCAGCUCUGAUGAGAAACAGAAGCCCUUCAGAUGUCCCCACGGGCUGGGGCCCCCAGGGGCCUUCAGGGGCCCCAAGAGAGGAGCGAUGUUCCCUCGCCCAGCGGUAGGCCCGGGCUUAGAAAGGCAGGGCAAAGGAUCCGAUCCCGGAGAGGCUGGGAACUUUUUAAUGACCGAAGAGUGGAGAAUAGUUACUGAGAACCCAGUCUUGGAACAAGCGUGACCCGUGCCGACCGGGGGAAAAUAAACUUCUUAAAGGA